rnacentral:lncRNA from 1 species
AAGAUCACCAAGAGGCAAAAGAGCAUUCUAAAUUCCAUGGUUACCUGGAAAGCUUACGGCACAGUCCAUGUAAACAUCUGCUUAAGAACUGCUUAUCAUCAACUUCACCAAUGAUUUGUUACUAAACUAUGAAACACAUCCUUCUACAUAUUGCUGAAAUUUUUUCACAGUCUUCACAGACCAUAACAGCAAGGCUUGGAAACAAUAGCAAGAACCAGCAGUGGAGAAUAACAAGCCAGAAACUACUUUGAGAAACUGGACACACUGAAACGCAUAGAGCAAAUAGGGUUCACCCACGAGCAUCAAAAACUGACUGAAUGUGACACUGACACCACUGUCUGUGAUCCAUAAAACUGGAAAAGAACAAUAGGAAAGAAAUGCUGAUUUGAGGCAGGGACCCACAGGUUAGGCUCAUCCCAGUGCAGUCACAGGAAAAGUCACGAAGCCUUCUUCAACACUGCCCAAAAACACAUGAAGGACAGCAAGGCAGUAACAAGAACAUCCAAAAUGGAGUUAUGACAGGAAUGUUCCUAUGACAGAAAGUCCAGCUAUAAGCAUAAGCGGAAAGCAGUGCAAUAUAACUUGACUUCAGGAAGCCUCUUCUUACUGACUUUCACUCUGUUCUCAUUAACGAGAUGAGGACUGAAUAAACAGACUCCUAGACAGUGUGAAAAGAGUAGACUGCAGGGCACAAAAACUGGUUAACUGUAAUCUGACUUGUAACUGGUGUUCAGCAACAAGCACAGUAUGCCAGGGGUCAGUAUUGCGGCUCACACUGCUAAUACUGCACUGCAGUUGAAGACAACGCUAAAUUAGGAAGGGUGCUUAACAUACCGAAUGGCAUUUUCAACCCAAGAGGCGCAUUAAGAUACUUAAGGAUCAUUCUGU